CCUACGGGUGGCUGCAGUGGGGAAUAUUGCACAAUGGGGGAAACCCUGAUGCAGCGAUGCCGCGUGAAUGAAGAAGUAUUUCGGUAUGUAAAGCUCUAUCAGCAGGGAAGAAGGAAGACGGUACCUGACUCAGAAGCCCCGGCGAACUACGUGCAAGAAGCCGCGGUAAUACGUAGGGGGCAAGCGUUAGUCGGAUUUACUGGGUGUAAAGGGAGCGCAGACGGCUGUGCAAGUCUGAAGUGAAAGCCCCGGGCUCAACCCUGGGAUUGCUUUGGAAACUGUGGAGCUAGAGUGCUGGAGAGGUAAGUAGAAUUCCGAGUGUAGCGGUGAAAUGCGUAGAGAUUAGGAGGAACACCAGAGGCGAAGGCGGCUCACUGGACAGUAACUGACGUUGAGGUUCGAAAGCGUGGGGAGCAAACAGGAUUAGAUACCCCAGUAGUC
rnacentral:rRNA from 1 species